AGCAGCCGCGGUAAUUCCAGCUCCAAUAGCGUAUAUUAAAGUUGUUGCAGUUAAAAAGCUCGUAGUUGAAUUUCGGGAUCAAAUUGUUGGUCGUGCCUCGGUACGCACUGGUAUUAUUGGUUCCUACCUUCUGAAGAACCGCGAUGUCAUUAAUUUGGUGUCGUGGGGAAUCAGGACUGUUACUUUGAAAAAAUUAGAGUGUUUAAAGCAGGCUUACGCUUGAAUACAUUAGCAUGGAAUAAUGAAAUAGGACGUUUGAUUCUAUUUUGUUGGUUUCUAGGAUUGACGUAAUGAUUAAUAGGGAUAGUUGGGGGCAUUAGUAUUCAAUUGUCAGAGGUGAAAUUCUUGGAUUUAUUGAAGACUAACUACUGCGAAAGCAUUUGCCAAGGAUGUUUUCAUUAAUCAAGAACGAAAGUUAGGGGAUCGAAGACGAUCAGAUACCGUCGUAGUCUUAACCAUAAACUAU
rnacentral:rRNA from 1 species